GCACUCGCCGGCGAGGCUGCACGGCGCCGGUUUCAUUGCUAAAAUCCGACGGACUUGUUGCAGAACUCGUUUUUUUUGUCGGGAAAGGGCUUCCCCGUGUAACUUUACAGCAGUUAUCGUAGAUAAGACUUGCAAAUUACAGAUGUGGACGGUGAGGGAACGGGAAUUUCACUGAAAGCGCCUGAGAACCAGUAAGAGACCUGCAACAGCUUUGUGCUCCACUGGCGAAUGCUUCCUCCCCUAAUACACAUUAUGUGUGCUUGGAGACACAAGGAGUAAGAUACAGCCCCUCAAGGGACUCGUCAUAGGGAGAGGACACAGCUUUGGGAAUAAAGGGGCCACAAAGGAGGAGAGAGGAGUUUGCUGAAACUUCCCAAGCUCCCAUUCCAGCAGUUCCUGAAGGGUAGGUAGGAUUUUGGGGAGACAGUAGAACGUGGGCAGAGAACUUUGGAAGGAGGAGAUGAGGAGAACAAAAAGUCUCCUGAUCCUGGACAGUUUUUUGUGUUAAGAGUGGGCCAGAGUGUAGAGAGAGAGAAUGUAGUAUUUGUCGGUUUACUCUUUCUUUGUUUGUUUGAGACGGAGUCUCGCACUGUCGCCCAGGCUGGAGUGCAGUGGCGCGAUCUCGGGUCACUGCAACCUCCGCCUCCUAGGUUCAAGUGAUUCUCGUGCCUCAGCCUCCUGAGUAGUUGGGAUCACAGGCACACGCCACCACGCUGGCUCAAUUUUGUAUUUUUAGUAGAGAUUGGGAGUGGGGGCAGGGGGUUGGUCUCACCAUGUAUGCCAGUCUGGUCUUGAACUCCUAACCUCAAGUGAUUCACCCACCUCAGCCUCCCAAAGUGCUGGGAUUACGGGCAUGAGCCACCGCACCUGGCCUGCCAGUUUACUCUUAAACUCUGUUGUAAACGCUGAAUUUUGUUAAAAUAGCUCUGUCAGACACACUGCUCUUUUCUGUCUUUCAGUCUUUUUCUUGGCUCUUUUCCGGGUACAUAUGGUAAGAUUGUCCAAAGUCUUUCCGUCCUUUCACUCCACUCUCUCACUCACACUUUGGCUUUUAACGUCUAUUUAUGGAAAGAUGACUACCAGAUUAUUAUCUCCAAUCAGGAUGGCUCCCCUAAACUCCAGACUUGGACAUGUAACUGCCUACUGGAUUUCUGUCUCCAUUAGGAUAUCUCACAAUCGAAUGCAACUCCUAAAACUCCUAUUAAUAUUUUCUCCUUAUAGGGACUCUUUCCUCUGUGUGUUGACACUCUCCACAUACUUACCCUAGCCAGAAACAUGAGAGUCACAACUUCUCCCUCUCCCUCGGUCCCUGCAUUCAGUUUGUCACCAAGCCCUAAAUAUCUCUCUGGUCUUGUGCCUCUCUCUCCCCACUGCUGCUGUAUUAGUUCAGGCUUUCAUAAUUUCUUACAGGAUUACUGAAAGAGCCUCCCAUCUGAUUUCUUUGAUGCCAGGCCCUUGAAUCUAAUACUUAAAAAGGAAUGCCCUGUUAGUGAUCUUUCCAAAACGUAACAUCAAUCAAUGCCAUUUCCUAUUUUCCUUCAAUAAUUUUUGAAUGAGUUAGGCUAUAAAUAAAUAAAUAAAUAAAUAAAUAAAUACCAUUCUUCUAUUUAAAAAUAUUCAAGGGAGAACAAAUGGAUAAAAUCCAAACUCUUUAGGCCACUCAGGCUCUGAAUUACUUCCUUCUGUAUAUACCUCUAUCCUUAUUUCCUGCUCUCCUGCCAAAUUUCACACCAACAUUUAAGGAACAUUCGUAGUUCCUUAAAGGGACUAUGCUUUUUCUUGAUUCCAGGCCUUUGUGUAUGUCAAUACUUCUGCUUGGAAUGCAGCAAGCAAUUUCUAGUGGGAAAAAAAAAAGACUUGGCAGAGAGUUUUCUUUUCCCUAUUGCAGAUAUAUUGUCUAUUUUCUGGAAAGAGACACUUGCAUUUUUGUAGUGCCUUGUUUAACAAUAAUAGGCAAGACUUUAGGUUUCUGGUCUGACAUGUAAGGAAUUUAGAAGUCAUCACUCCAUCCUAACAACAACUAAAAAGCUAAAAAAAAUGAGAAAUUAAUAACUCUUCUUAGAGCUGUAAGUGAAGUGGGGUCACAGAGAAAACAGCUUCUCCAAAAUUAGAGACACAGAUGGGUGGAUUCAAAGAAUCACAACUUACCAUAGAAACACACUUUUGCAGGAACUGUUACUGGAGUAGGAAAGUCUGAGCUGUAAUUGAUGAAUUGCCAGAGGCUCAUUGUGGAUUAGUUUGAGAGUUAAAGAUUCUUGGGGGACCCAAUCUUAGGGGGGCUUUCACACUUUUGUGAGUUUUACCUCCGUGAAUUCUCAGAGAAGAUCAGAGAAAAAUCCCCAAUUGCUUCCUGCAUGAGGAGUGUAAAAGGAAUUAUUUUGAAAAAUUCUAGUGCAUUUUGUUCUUAACAAGACUUGCCAACAAAAGAAACUAUUUUACUCGAGCCUAGUGUACUGGGAUUUUUACAAGUGGUUAACUGACCUGGGGGAAAGGAAAUACCCAACUCCAGCUCCCUCUAGACAUUCUGUACCACCUAAGGGGGUGAAAAAACAAACUGAGAACUGUGAAGUUUACAGCCUAGGGACACAGGCUCACUAAAAGACUGAGAUAAAAUGGUAGAACUAUAGGACACUUCCCCUUCCCGUGUAUCUUACCACUACAUUACUAAAGGGCUAUUUACUGCAAUUUCUUUGACUCAGUAUAUUAUAUCCGCCUUUCAAUACAAAAUUACAAGGCAUAUUAAAAGGCAACAUAGUUUGAAUGGACAGAGCAAGCAGUGGAACCAAACCCAGAGGAUGACAGGGAUGUUGCUAUUAUCAGACCAUGAAUUUAAAACAACUAUGAUUAAUAUUGUUUGAAAUGCUUGUUCCCCGGUGCUGUAAAGAAAUAGUACUUGAACAUAAAUUUAAUUUAGUAAGGCCAUUUUUACUUUUGCAGAAAGGGUACACUGGCCAGCAGUUUUGCCAUGAGAGUACACCAAACAAAGGAGACAGGGUCAUUUAUAACCUAAUGUAUCCACCCUACUGCUGUGUCCGGUUUCCAUUGUCUGGAACGGGACCUCACAUUCUGUAUUUGUCCUGACUUGCUAGCAACUUAGAACUUUUUAAAAGAGGCAGAGGUAGAGGAGAACAAAGGAAGGAGGAGGUAACUUGUGGAAUGCUGAGAAAGGUAAAAACACUUUUAAAUAAGGAAGAGGAACAGGCUAUGACCUAGUGCUUGCUUGGACUAGUAUAAGCAUGCCAGGGCAAAUAUUUAGGAGCACAGGUCUUUGAAUAAAUUUUGCUUAUAAGAGAAGUUACCAUUUAUUCCUAAUUAGAUGGGCAGGAAAGUCUUUGAAGAAGAACCUCUACUUUAUUUUUUACAGUAUGCUAAGGGCUUUAAUGGGAAAAGUAGACAACAUGCAAGAACCGAUGGAUAAUGUAAGCAGAGAGAUGGAAAUUCUAAGAAAGAAUUGAGAAUAAAUGACAGAAAAAAUACUGUAACAAAUGAAAAAUGCCUUUGAUGGGCUCAUUAGUAGACUGGAUGUGACUAAGGAAAGAAUCUUUGAGCUUGAGUAUAUGUUAAUAGAAACAGUCAAAACAAGAAAGCAAAGAGGAGAAACGAAUAAAUGGAACAGGGUAUCAUAUACAUGUAUGGGAGUACCAGAAAGAGAAGAAAGCAAAAGGAGCAGAAGCAGUAUUCGAAGCAACUAUGACUGAGAAUUUCCCCAAAUUAAAGUCAGGAAAUAAACCACAGAUCCAGGAAACUUAGAGAACACCAAACAAGUGUUCCUUCCAAAGCAGAAAGCACAAAGCCCACAUGGGUUCACUGAUGAAUUUUUCCAAACAUUUAAGGAAGGAAAUAUACCAAUUUUCUACAAUCUUUUUCAGAAGAUAGAAGCAGAGAGAAUAUUUCCUAACUCGUUUUAUGAGGCCAGCAUUACUGUAAUACCAAAGCCACAGACAUUGCAAGAAAACUACAUACCAAUAUCCCUUAUGAACCUAGAUACAAAUAUCCCCAACAAAGUAUUAGCAAAUUGAAUCCAACAAUGUAUAAGAAUAAUUACAUGCCACAACCACGUGGUAUUUAUCCCAGGUAUAUAAGGCUGGUUCAACAUUAGAAAAUCAGUUAAUGUAAUCCAUCACAUCAAUGGGCUAAAGAAGAAGAAAAUAACAUAAUUAUAGCAAUAGGUGGAGUAAAAAACAUUUCACAGAAUUCAACACCUAAUCAUGAUGAAAACUUUCAGCAAACGAGUAUUAGAAGGAAACUGUCUCAAUGUGAUAAAGAACAUCUACAAAAAGCCUGCAGCUAACAUCAUACUUAAUGGUGAGAAGCUAGAAGACUUCCUGCUAAGACUAGGAACAAGAAAAAGGUGUCCCAUCUCACCAUUCCUUUUCAACAUCUUGCUGAAAAUCCUACCUAAUGGAAUAACACAAGGAGAAGCAAUAAAAUGUAUACUGAUUAGAAAGGAAGAAGUAAAACUCUCUUUGCUUACAGAUGACAUUUAUCUAUUUACAAAAUCUGAAAAAAUUGACAGAAGUCUCCUGAAACUAAUAAGUGAUUAUAGCAGGGUUGCAUGAUACAGGUUUAAUACACACAUUUCAGUCAUUUUCCUAUAUGCCAGCAAUGAACAAGUGGAGUCUGAAAUUAAAAACCCAAUACCAUUUACAUUAGCAUCCCCAGAAAUGAAAUGCUUAGGUAGAAAUCUGACACAAUAUGUACAAGAUCUGUGAGGUAAAUUACAAAACUCUGAUGAAAAAAAAUAAAUGGAGAAAUGUCUCAUGUACAUGGAUAUUCUGAAACAACAUUGUCAAAAUAUCAUUUAUUCCCAUUUGCUCUAUAGAUUUAACUAAAUCCCAGUAAAAAAAUACCAGCAAAUUAUUUUGUGGAUAUUGACGAACUGAUUUCAAAGUUUUUAUUUUUAUUUUUUUUUAAAGUACAGCAUAAUUUGUUGAAAAAAAUUGGAAGUUAAGUGCAGAAUACAGUACAACCUGAGAGUGAUAUUCCAGGCCGGGCUGCUCAUAAGAGUGAGACAGCGUGGAUUGUCGCCAGAGAAACUGCCUUAUGGGAGUUUUGCAUUAUUAUUAUUAUUUUUUAUUAUACUUCUAGGGUACAUGUGCACAACGUGCAGGUUUGUUACAUGUGCGUACAUGUGCCAUGUUGGUAUGCUGCACACAUUAACUCGUCAUUUACAUUAGGUAUAUCUCCUAAUGCUAUCCUUCUCCCCGCCUCCCACCCCACAACAGGCCCUGGUGUGUGAUGUCCCCCUUCCUGUGUCCAAGUGUUCUCAUUGUUCAAUUCCCACCUAUGAGUGAGAACAUGUGAUGUUUGGUUUUUUGUCCUUGCGAUAGUUUGCUGAGAAUGAUGGUU
rnacentral:lncRNA from 1 species